rnacentral:miRNA from 2 species
GGUGGGAGGUGGGGUGGUUC